GAAGUAAAAGUCGUAACAAGGUUUCCGUAGGUGAACCUGCGGAAGGAUCAUUCAUAAUAAGUGUUUUACUGCACUUUUUAAAAAUCAGUAUUCACCUUGUGUGCAAUGUUUGCUGACGAGUUCGCGUUUUUGCGCGUUCUUGGCAGUAUAAUACCAACCCUUUAUUGAAAUUUUUUGUCUGAAAUUUUUUGAAUACAUAAUUCGAAAUACAACUUUUAACAACGGAUCUCUUGGCUCUCGCAUCGAUGAAGAACGCAGCGAAAUGCGAUACGUAAUGUGAAUUGCAGAAUUCAGUGAAUCAUCGAAUCUUUGAACGCACAUUGCACUCUCUGGUAUUCCGGAGAGUAUGCUUGUUUGAGUAUCUGUAAACAUCUCAAAUCUCUACUUUAUUGUAAAGAAUUGGACUUGAGCAAUCCCAACUCCUUCGUCAGAAAGAGAAGGGUUGCUUGAAAUGCAGGUGCAGCUGGACAUUCUUCUGAGCUAAAAGCAUAUUUAUUUAGUCCCGUCAAACGGAUUAUUAUUCUUGCUUCAGCUUAUAUAAAGGUUGAAUGACUACCAAGGCUGAUUGCAGGUAAACUCGUUCCGUAAAAAAGAACUUGUAAACUCGAUCUCAAAUCAAGUAAGACUACCCGCUGAACUUAAGC
rnacentral:rRNA from 1 species